rnacentral:snRNA from 1 species
GGAUAUGGCUGUAGCAUGCUGUGACCUCUGUUACCCCAUUGAUUUGGCUGAUCUGGCUGUCUAGGCAGGUGUCCCUUUCCUCCAUCACUGCUCCAUGUGUGUCCCUCCUGAAGCUGCACGCUUGAUGGAAGAGGACAACGACCAUUCCCUAUAGAGGAGAGUUCUUCAGUUAAGGGUAAAAAAAUAGCUGCACUGUCCUUCUAGAGCAUCCAAACAAGCUACUAUCAAUAAUUUAUAUCUUGCAUCUACUUCUGCGACAUCUUACUUUUCAUUAAGGGUUAGAUAGAGAUUGCUAAUGUUU